AAACAAUCACACCAUCAUGAACUCCUUGGUCGUUCUCGCCAUCUUGGCCACCGCUGCCUGCGCAUCCGCCUCUCACCUUGGUCUCGGUCUGGGAUGGGGUGCAGGUCAUUUGGGUGGUUGGGGAGUCGGACACGGUGGACACUACUUCCACGGUGAUCACGGACCAUCAGGUGUGACCUCUGGAGCUGGAGCUGCAGGACCCUCUGGAGUAGUUACCGGACAUGGAGCCGCUGGACCCAGUGGUGUAGUCAACGGACACGGUGCCGUAGGACCAACUGGACCAAAUGGUCAUGGCGCCGCUGUCAUCGCCGUACCUGCUAUCGCUGUUGGACAUGGUCUCG
rnacentral:misc_RNA from 1 species